rnacentral:rRNA from 1 species
UACGUAGGGUGCAAGCGUUGUCCGGAAUUAUUGGGCGUAAAGAGCUCGUAGGCGGUCUGUCGCGUCGGCUGUGAAAUCCCGAGGCUCAACCUCGGGUCUGCAGUCGAUACGGGCAAACUAGAGUAUUGCAGGGGAGACUGGAAUUCCUGGUGUAGCGGUGAAAUGCGCAGAUAUCAGGAGGAACACCGGUGGCGAAGGCGGUUCUCUGGGCCUUACCUGACGCUGAGGAGCGAAAGCGUGGGGAGCAAACAGG